AGAGCGUGAGAGGGACCGAAAAGGUAAGGUGUUGUACAAGGGAUGGGAAGCAGUGGGCUGUAACUGCAGAAGGAAGGGAGAAGAAGGAGAGAAAGAGCCAGAGCUGUGUGGAGCUGCCCAUGGGAGGCCACAGAGAAAAGGUGUUCAAACCCCGCUGCUGGGAAACAACAGGCAAGAUGAAGCUCUCAGCAUUUGUGCCAUCCUCACCAGCCCCUGAGGAGGAGAGAGAGCUAGCAGCCACUAGAACCCUUCCUGGACCAAGAUGAUGAUGUAUCAAGAUUGAAACUCCUCCCGGUCUUUUCACGGAACGGAUCGAUAACGCCGGCCACGUCGCUCCUCUGUCCGGGGCCACGAGAAAGCUUCAGCCACCGAGCCGCUGCCUCCUCGUGCCCGUGUGUCUUGGUUUUGAAAAGACAGGUGUCUGCUAAGGAGAGGCAGGCCUCUCCAGGAAAUGAGGAAUUCAAAUCCUUCCCUCCGUGUUAUUAUAAUUUGGAAGAUUAAAAAAAAAACAACUUUUCAGUCAGAGCUAUGGGGAAAAGGAAUAACAGUCCUUUACUAGUAAAUAUAACAGGACAGACAAAAAACCAACAGCAAUUAUAACAAUAGUAAGACAGAACCAAGAACCCCGAG